rnacentral:rRNA from 1 species
GUACGGCUCAUUAUAACAGUUAUAAUUUACACGAUCUUGAUGUCCUAAACGGAUAUCUGCGAUAAUUUUGGAGCUAAUACGUGCACCAAAUCUCGAUCUUCGGAUCCGAGAGCACUUGUUAGACCAAGACCAUUCCGGGCAACCGGGUUUUGGUGACUCUGAAUAAUUUCGCUGAUCGCACGGUCUCGUACCGGCGACGUAUCGUUCAAGUAUCUGCUUUAUCAACUUUCGAUGGAAGUCUAUAUGGCUACCAUGGUUAUGACGGAUAACGGAGAAUAAGGGUUCGACUCCGGAGAGGGAGCCUGAGAAACGGCUACCACAUCCAAGGAAGGCAGCAGGCGCGUAAAUUACCCACUCUCAAUACGAGGAGGUAGUAACUAUCAAUAACGAGACAGAUCUCUUUGAGGCCUGUUAUCGGAAUGGGUACAAUUUAAACCC